GAAUACAUGAAUGGUUAACAACAAUCACUGCAUUUUAGACACGUGUCACUUCAUUACUUUAUUAUUUUUUCAAACACUGUGGAUAUGAGAGAAUUUAAAGUUCAGAGGGAAAAACUUUCUCCUGCAAACCAACCUGCAUAUCUUAAUUCUCUGGAGCUGGACAUGAAGAGACCUAUGAAUUCUGAAAAGUCAGGGGAAUGAGUAAGGUAUUAGGGAUGUGGGCCAGGAGAGCAAAAAUAAGCAAGUUGUAUCAAGUGAAGCCUGGUUUCCAGCAGCAGCAUGGUGUCAAAUUGGAGGAUUCUUUCCAUGAGACCAGAGAUGACUAACUUGAGAGGCAAAGCACGACUGCUUAAACCAGCCAUGCAUCACCGGCACCAAAUUGCUACAACUGAAAAUACGAAAAGCAGGCUAACCACAUUCAAGAAAACCCAUUUAAUUUCCAUAGAACACCCCUUCCUGUAACAUGCUCCUUGUAGGGAAGACCACAGUGAGGCUCCAGAGCAAAAAGCAGCAAGCACUGAUCUCUGUGGAGGGGUGGAGGAAACCUGGCAUAUGAUAGCUUUGUUUAAGGGUUUAUAUGAAGAAAUGAACAGGACGAAGAGCAAAAUAACCAGCACUUUGACAAUGAAGUUCAAAUUAGAAGGUUAAAAACAAAGAGAGAAAAAAUCCUGUCUCAUGGUCCAAAGUGAGGAACCGAUUUAGCACUUGUCUUACAGCCUGAAUUUGCAGCUGGAGAUAAGCUCUGAAUUGGGCAUGAAGAGAAACAGGAGAGAAAAUUCAAGUUGGAAUAAUGCUAAGUAAAUCCUCAAUGUCGUUGAUGUCGUUUGAGACAUUGUUAGAGAUGCACAGACAGUAUUAGUCAUUUUGACAUGCCCCUUUCUGGUCAUUGUUACUGCUUUCCCUCAUAUCCAAGAUGAGAAAAAUAUAGUGCUUUACA